rnacentral:rRNA from 1 species
GGGGAAUUUUGGACAAUGGGCGCAAGCCUGAUCCAGCCAUGCCGCGUGUCUGAAGAAGGCCUUCGGGUUGUAAAGGACUUUUGUCGGGGAAGAAAAGGCUGUUGCUAAUAUCAGCGGCUGAUGACGGUACCUGAAGAAUAAGCACCGGCUAACUACGUGCCAGCAGCCGCGGUAAUACGUAGGGUGCGAGCGUUAAUCGGAAUUACUGGGCGUAAAGCGAGCGCAGACGGUUACUUAAGCAGGAUGUGAAAUCCCCGGGCUCAACCUGGGAACUGCGUUCUGAACUGGGUGACUAGAGUGUGUCAGAGGGAGGUAGAAUUCCACGUGUAGCAGUGAAAUGCGUAGAGAUGUGGAGGAAUACCGAUGGCGAAGGCAGCCUCCUGGGAUAACACUGACGUUCAUGCUCGAAAGCGUGGGUAGCAAACAGGAUUAGACACCCUGGUAGUCCACGCCCUAAACGAUGUCAAUUAGCUGUUGGGCAACUUGAUUGUUCAGUAGCGUAGCUAACGCGUGAAAUUGACCGCCUGGGGAGUACGGUCGCAAGAUUA